rnacentral:lncRNA from 1 species
UCUUCCCGGUGCAUGGACUGAGAUACAAAUAUACAGAAAGCAUAAGGUAAAUAAAGAAUUUUUUAAAAUGUAUGAAUGCAAUAGCUUAUUUAGAUGUGUCUUUAUCAAACAGCUUAAUUAUUAUUCCUAUUACAUAAAUCUAUAGAGUAUGUCUUACUUUUAAAACAUUUCAUAACAAUCUUGGCCAUUAUUUAUAUUUCUAAUUUUAGGGGCGGCUAUUUAAAAAAAAAAUGCUUUUGAUUUUACCAUUUUUGUACACGUUUAAUUUUAUGUAUAAACAAAGUUACUAAGGGUUCAGGUUAAAAAGCAUUUAUCAACUAUAGUUUGAACAAUACAAUGCAACGGGAGAUAACUCUACUGUAUAUAAAAUUAUUAAACAUUUAUUUUACUAUUUUACUGAUAUAAUCGAGCGUUUUGCAUUUUGUUAAAUUUUAUGAAACUGCCUUCUAGUGAUAUAUUUUUGCGAACACAAACAUGUUUUGGUUAAUACAAUAAUUCAUUGAUCAAAGUCAUUAACGUCGUAUGAUACAGUAACAUUAAUCAAGUUGAGAAUGUUUUAUCAACUUGAAUGGCCAGGUUUAACUAUAAAAUAGAAGAUUGCUAUCAAAGUCGACAGAAAUGUACUGCUAUUGAAUAAUUGUCUUCCAUUAUUCUAAUUCGUGGAUAUCGUUUCCGUAUGCAGUGACCUUAAAUUCGCUACUAAUUAGCGCAAGUGCGAGGGAAACCCGCGAUGAAAAAAGGCAAACAAACAUGAAAGUUAUAAAAUGUAAAGUGAGUCUGCAAGAAAAGCUUUAAUACAACAAAUGAAUUACCACAACUGUUACUUGUUAUGACGAAGAUAGAUAAACAAGCACAUGGAAAAUUAAAACAAAACUCGCUCUAUUUAAUGCUUAUAAUCACACGUGUGUUUCACGUGCUAUGUUCUGUGAUGAUUUUUUUUAUCAAGGUCAUAUUCGGUUAAUUCGGCAAUGAAACACAAAAGUUAAUUAGCGAGCAAAGUUUUCAUAAAAUAAAAUAUAUUUUGACAAUUAUAUAUAUAUAUAUAUAAUUAAAUGUGAUAGAUUCGUUAUGUAUGUAAAAUCCGUGCAUUAAGACAUUGUUUAGUAUGUAUAGAGGAAUUGGUUCAAUAAUUUCAAGAACUUCGAUUCAUAUGAAAUUAUAUUAUCAUUUCCACAUUUUUCACAUGAUCAAAAGAUUUUUAAAACACUGAAAAGUAAGAGUUAGGCCACACAUUAUACAUGUUAUAUUUCUGUUAAAAUUAUAUUUCUUAUAUAGUUGUGGUAUGCUUACUUUUUCCCGCAUGACGAAAUAUUUCUCAUAACACAUGGAAUAGUGGGUCAUAUGAAUAAGUGAUAAUUUAGUUGGUCUACCAUGAAAUGUUUGAUGAAAUUGCAACAUUUCCAGGUUAUUCGUUAGGUCAAUGAAAACGUGUAAUGGCCAAAAUGGACUAUGUUUACACCAUGGGAACACAUUAUUGUAAUUUCUUCAAUAAUAUACCACAAAUCACGUGUUUCACUGUAAAAUAUUCUUAUUAUCAAGAUUGAUUCUACUGUACUUUAAAAAUAAAUAAAUAGAAAACAACUUAUAUAAAUGUAUGAUAUGGAACGCCGGAACUGUCUUAAAGUGUAAAUUUUCAAUGUGUUUUGUACCUUUGCCUUCACGUCCCGUCAUUUCGUCUUUAUGUUAUGUGCAGGUGUCUUUAUUUCCUGACACUGCAUCUAUGUGUUAUGUCAAACUUAUUCUUUGUUUGGUCAAACAAUUGUAAGAUAUGCCAUUGCUAACCUUUGGUGUGUGCAAUAGGCAUAACAUUAUGCUGUAACUACUAUAUAUUGUGUGCAUACCUCCAACCUUUAUGAUCGACCACUUUAACAUUCUUUAAUAUCUUCUCUAUGUUGUAUAUUCUCCCUUUACGUAAGACAGUUGAUAAUUGCGUCCUAUCUCAAAUAUGAUUGUUAUGCUGAAUGUUCUAUACAUCUUUGUUAUAUGAAAACCUAGCUCAUGAUAUUAUAGUAUAACGGCUUUAUAUUGUGUUUACACAUAUCUAUCUGCUGUGGUUUAGUACAUAUGCGUUUUGCCGAACAAUUGAUACUCUCUGUUAGCAUUCAUUACGUCAUGUGAACAUACCUUUUACAUUAUAUUCAAACACCUAAUACAUUAUGUGCAAACACCUAUUACGUUAUAUGCAAACACCCUAUUACGUUAUGUAUUACACUUAUAACGUUAUGUGCAAACACCUAUUACAUUUUGUGUAAACACCUAUGACAUUAUGUGCAUAAAAGUACAAUCACAAAAAUACUGAACUCAGAGGAAAAUCCAAUCGGGAAGUCCAUAAUCACAUGGCAAAAUCAAAUGACAAAACACAUCAAAAACGAAUGGACAAGAGCUGUCAUAUUCCUGACUUGGUACAGGCAUUUUCAAAUGUAGAAAAUGGUGGAUUAAACCUGGUUUUUAAAGCGCUUUUUGCAUUAUGUCCCAACAUCUGUAACGUUAUGUGCAAACACCUAUUGCGUUAUGUGCAAACACCUAUUCAAACACGCCUUAUCUCAUGCCAUUUAUCGUUUUGUAGCUUACACUAUCAGUGUAAUACUAGGACAAAUGUCACUCACUUCAUUUCUCUUUUUUUGCUUGUUGUAUGGUCGAUUUGUCUGUUUUGAAUAGUUCAGUAAUUUUGAAGAUCAUUGUUUUGUUUAACACGAAAAAAAAUGUUGGAUUUUGAAAUUUUAAUUGUUUUUUUUUAAUUGAUAGUUUUGUUAUAAUUGUAAUAUACAAACCAAGUCGGACUCGGAAUAUGGCAUCCAUUCACAUUCCUGUUAAACUAUGCCCAUCAUGCCAUAAACGAAGUAGGAAUGAAAAACAAUGGGAUAAGUGUUAUAAAUCCGGGUUCUUCUACUGAAUUGCUUAUUUAUAUGCGAGGAAUGACCCCAAAAAAGCUUUAUCGAGGCUAUGGGAGCACAGACAGAUCAUGUUUAUUUUAGUAUAUUGCAUGAUGCUUCCGACCUCGUUCCCCUUCGAACUGAUGAUUACAAAUUAUUGUACCACCAUUCUUGCUAUAAAUCUUACACUAGCAGACAUAACUGCAGUUAUUUGAAAGCUGAAUCAAGUUCUCUUUUCGUUUGUAAAACUGUUUCAGAUCAUAUAUCAUGUAUACAUGGUAUAUAGAAGGUCGUCAACUUCAUGACCGAAAAAAGUAUCUUCGAGUCGAUGAGAACAAACAGGCCUUAAUGAGAUAUUUUGGCGAAUCGAUUGUUCAGCAACAUGGCAGAUCAACAUUACAAGAUUACUAUUACACAUGAAGAAGUCAUUUAUCUAGCUGGAACUUCUAUUGACCCUAAAUCUGCCCAAAAGAAGUAUUCAGAUUUGAAGAAUUAUUUUGUACGCGCGAUGAAGCGGAUACUCACAUAAUUUUACAUGCUAUUCAUGUAGACAAAGAGUUCGGUGUGAAAGGAAUCAAGGGUUGGAUAAUGAUAAAGUCACAAGAUACAGAUGUACUGUUCGUAUUCGUUUAUUACUACCCCUCCAUGCAGCAUACGCAUGAGCUUUGGUUUCAAACAGGUACGAUAACUUGCACACAAGAUUUGCGCCUCUAUUUACCUGUCUACGAAAUAUAAAAAAGUAUCGGGUCUGUCAUCUAUAACAUUCUACCAGCCGCACAUGCUGUAACAGGAUGCGAUACAACGUCAUCCCUGUUCGGGAUCGGUACGCGCACUGUUUUUAAAGUCUUGAAGGACAACCCAGAUGAUUUCACUGAUUUGUCAAACCUUUCGAAUUGUGGCAUCAAUGAAUAUUUAGAUGCAGGUCGAAAUCUUGUUGUUAGGUUGUAUGAUAUCAUGUCAAAACUCAAAACAUAUCAAAGUGACCUAAACAAAUGGAGGAUAAAAUUGGCUACAAUUAAAAAUUUAUCUCUUGUCAACUUGAUCCAUGUGAAUCUAACUUUAAACAGCAUGUGCUAAGAGCUUCACUCCAGACAUAUAUGUUGAUAUCUUCCCUUAAAGCAAAUCUACCCUUACUUUCUCCGCUUCAGUUCGGAUGGGAAUAAAAGAAUGAACUUGUUCUUGUCUAUUUCGAAGGUCAGAUGUCAUCCGAAUUUCUACAAGAUUUAGUUAGCACUUGUAAGUGGAAACAUGUGUGUUCAAAGGGUUUGCAUUUGAUUCGAACAAAAUCUAUCAUGUACAGAUUUAUGCCCAUGUCAGGCAAAUUACAUAUGUUAAAAUGUAAAUACUCGUAUGCUGGCAGUUAGAAACAUUGAUGACGUCGAAUAUGACGAUGUAUAAGAUUUCAUUUUUCUGUUGGUAUAUUUUUAAUCAUUGGUAGCAAUCGAAUGAAAAUUAAGCAGUCCAUAAAUUGUCCAAAUAAUAAACAAAAUAUCAACUAAAUUAUGAAUUCGUGGGAAAUAUAGUAAUCGUCUUUCUAGUGGGGAAAGACAUAAAAAAACACCUGCCAUAUGGUCUCUGACCUUGAUAUGGUUGUUGGGCUUUCAAACAAACUAAUAGGAUUCCGUUCAAAUUUUGGUUUGAGCGUCACUGAUGAGUCUUAUGCAGACGAAACGCACGUCUGGCGUAUUAAAUUAUAAUCCUGGUACCUCUGUUAACGUUUUGUUGCUUAUACUAUCUUCGAUCAUAUAUUCUAUGUAUUUGUUCUUUCAUUAUUCGUAUUUCGUGUUUUUGCCAUGCUGUUGUCGGCUUGUCUUCAAUUUCUAAGAUUUUAAUGUCCCUUUUGUAUAUCACGCAUUUUUGUUUGCAAUUGUUUGUAAAAUACAUCGGUGCUGUACAUAACCCUCUUCCUGAUUAAAUUCUGUGAAUACUUGUAAACAUUAUAUAGCAAAUAAGGGCUCAUUUUGUCAUCUGUAUAUAUCUGAUUAUGUAGAAUGAGGUGUUUUAACUGUUUCGAACAGACGUUUUUAUUCAUAAAUGUAACCCACCUCCUUUUCUCCGUUUGCAGUAAUCUUACUUCUGUAAAGCAAAGCUAUGCACAUAGCUUUAUAUUCAACCAAGACAGACGUUUAUGUUACACAAACUUUGAAACAAAUCAAUAAUAUACUUUGAAUACUUGUAAACAGUAUAUAGCCAAGUAGUGCUCAUUUUGUCAUCUGUAUAUAUCUGUAUAUGUAGAAUGAUGUGUUUUAACUGUUUCGAACAGACGUUUUAUUUCAUAAAUUUAACCCACCCCCUUUUCUCCGUUUGCAGUAAUCUUACUUCUGUAAAGCAAAGCUAUGCACAAAGCUUUAUAUUUAAUUAAGACAGAUGUACACAAAUUUUGAAACAAAUCAAUAACAUAUACGCUUUCACAUUCAAUAACAGAAAUUUUAUAUAUAUUUUUAUACCAAAAGACGUGAAAACACAUUUUGUAUUCGACAAAUUAUAAAAGUUAAGAUAUAAAAAAAACAUCUUUAAAUCUUACUUGUAAGGAAUAGAAUAGAAUAUAAAAAUUCCAAAUUUUGAAAUUGAAAUGGGUCAAGGUCACUGUUAUUUAAGAAAGAGAUGUUUGAAAAUUUCAAAUUUGCACCCUAUUAGUAAAAAAUGUCAAUCUCAAGUAAUUUUUAGAGAUAACAAUAUAGAAUAAGUUCUAAAUGUAGAUAAAUUAGCUGUAUUUAUUUUGCUACAAAAUCAUAUAUGUAGGAGAAACAAGCUACCUAAAUGUGACUCUGCAUUGUUCUGGAAUGUUUGCUCUGACUGUUGACUCUGAUUUAAAAAAAGAACUCACCACUGCAGAAAGUGACGACAACGAUAUUUCGAUGCGGCUUGUUCUCUUCUUCCCAAUGAUAUAAAAUAUAACCAUGUGUUAUUCCGUUAACCCAAAUCGAUCAAAUUCUUUGAUUGGGCACCCUAAUAAAUGUAAAAGGCAUUUGCACAUGACGUAAUAAUUGCUAACAGAGAGUAUCAAUUGCUAGGCAAAACGCUUAUGAAAUAUACCAUGAUAUACUAUAUUUUUCAUUUGAGAUACAAAUGUAUAAACACAACAUAAAGCCGUAAGACUAUAAUAUCAUUAGAUUUUCAUAUAACAAAGAUGUAUCAAAACAAAACGUUCAGAACACUCAGCAUAACAUUUGAGACAGGACGUAGUUAUCAACCGACUUACGUAAAGGAACAUUAGACAGAACACAGAGAAAAUAUUAAAGAAUUUAAAGGUGGUUGAUCUAAAAGUUUGAAGUAUGUACAGAAUAUAUAGUAGUUACAACAUAAUCAUGAUAAUGUAAUGCCUAUUGCACACAUCAAAGUUUAGCAAUGGCAUAUCAUACAAUUGUUUGACCAAACAAAUAAUUAAUUUGACAUAAUACAUAGAUAUGCAGUGUCAGGAAAUAAAGACACCUGCACAUAACAUAAAGAAGAAAUGACAGGACGUAAAGGCAGAGCGACAAAACACAUUGAAUAUUUAAAUUAUAAGACAGUUCCGGCGUUCCAUAUAUGACUCUGGAAACAAACUAAUGCCCACAACUUAUUGCAAAUGAUCAUGGGUAGCACCCAUAACUUUCCGUUUGAUAGAAUGAUCAAGAAAAACAAGAAGUAAAAUGAUAAAGAAAAGUCGAAUGCCUUUCUCUUUUUGCCUUUGAAUGAAAAAUAACAUUGAUUAAUUAUUCUAAAGAAUCGUACGUUUAUCUGUAAAAAAUAAUACCCUGGACUACACGCUGACAUAAUGUACGUAUAUUCCAUAUUUCUCUGUAAGGUGUAAGGAGAUGAGGAAUGAUUGCAAAUUAGACAGUUAUCCGAUAAAGUUCAACUAAAAUGGUUGUAAGCAAUUAUAAGCAGCCGUACGCCCUUCAACAAUGAGAAAAGUCCAUACUAUAUAGAAAGCCGGCUAGCUAAGGCCAGUUAUUAUUGAAUUGAAGACGAAUGAGUUUUAAAUACUAAUGUUUAAGUUGUACACAACUACUAUAAAAAGUUUAAAAGUGCUAUAACUUUUGAUUCAUAUAAGACAUUCAUGUUGCAAAACAAGACAACAAUUUUUACCUUUACUUUGGAUGAGUACAACAUUUUUGUUGUUGUAAACCUUUAUAUGCUGAUCCGCCAGUAAUUCGGCACUGACGCUUUAAUGUCCUAUAAUUUCAUUUCCAGUUUGUUAUCUUGAUUCCCACAAUUACAGGUUGAAGUGCACCUUCAGAGCAACAGAUGUACUAUUUAAUUGACGGAUGAUAUCCCGAAGAAGUUUCCUAAAUCAAUCUUAUCAAUUCAAUGUUAGCAACAUAAUCGUAUCAUACCUAUUUAGAUAAACCUUCAACUCUAUGUUAAAUUAAUUGUUAUAUCAACAAAAAAUAACAAAUUGAAUCAAAAGUAACAAGUAAUAUAUCCCCGUAAAAAUGGAUUUGAAAUUCAGAUUCUAUUUAUCUUUUAUUCGGAAGUCGUAAAACUAAUUCGAUAUAAUAAGUUAAGAAAAGUAAUGAGCGGUUUCAUAUGUGUAAUUUCGUGUUUAAUCGGUUUAUACAAAAUAAAUUCAUUCUACCGAACUGAGAUAUCAGUUGCUGAUUUUUUUUUUCAAAACGAAUUCAAACAAUAAAAGGAAGUCAUAAAUUGCGUCAUUACAACAGCUUUUUUUUUUUAAAUUUGUGUCGGAACUAUUCACAAUGAUAUACGGUGCAUAUAUUUCUUAACCAUGGAGUCCUAGAAAUGAACAUCAUAAUGUUGAAAAAAACACUAACCUUGUUUGUCCACAUGAUAAACAUCAUGACAAGUCACUAAUAAAUUAUUUCGUUCUUUUUCAGAUUUAUUUAACAUGGCAGAAUCAAGACCUGUAUGUGAUGCUUGUGCCCUCCGUCAAGUCUCAAAGGCAUCUAUCAUCUGGUGUACUGACUGUGCUGAGGGAUUUUGCGAAGAAUGUAAAGAACACCAUAGUUUUACUAAAACUUCAAGAAACCAUACAACAAUACCAAUUUCCGAGUAUCAGAAAUUACCUUCUGAUAUAUUAAAUAUAAGCCAAUACUGUAAAAUUCAUAACAAAAAAUAUCAACUUUACUGCAGGAAGCAUGCAAGUCUUUGCUGCAGGGUGUGCGUUAUAGAAUGUCACAAAGAAUGCAGAGAUUUCGAUAAACUAGUUGACGUCAUUCAGACAGCAAAAGAGUCAUAUGCGUUCUACGAAGUGGAGCAUAAUUUAGCAGAAAUUUUAGAAAGUUUUAAAACAAUCCGUGAAAACUGUCAAGACAACAUGAAAACACUAUCAAAAGAGAGGGCGAUUAUUGAACAAGAAAUCGAACACACCCGCAUAUUUAUUAACAACCAUCUUGACAAAUUGAAAAGAAACAUGAUAAGAGAGGUAAACGAGAUUGAAAAACAAGAAAACAAGAAAAUCUACCAACGUAUCAAAUUGGUAGAGGCAACGGAAAACGAGAUAUUGGAAUGCCAAAUGAAAGUUUCAAGUAUCAAACAGCAUGCAUCAGACUUGCAAGCUUUUCUAGCAAUGAAAGAGUUAGAAAAAGAUGUAUUCCUAAAAGAUAAAUUCCUUCAAUCACUUCUCGAUAAGAAUACAUCAAAACAAAUGUCUAUGAUAUUUCGUCCCAGUGCCAUCUUGCAAACACUUGUAUCCGAUGCUCAAACCUUUGGGAAAGUUUUAAUUGAGAAUAAACCAAGCAAAGUCGUUUUGAAUAGUUACAAGGGAAAACAAGCUCAAAUAACCGUAGUGAAAGUCAAUUCAUAUGCCAUUGAUUGUAUUAGUCUUAAGCUUUUCAAGACAAUCAAAGAACCGGGAUUUGACAUCCGUGACUGUUGUUUGUUACCGGACGGUAGAACAGCAUUUACAAAUUAUUUCGAUAACAAUAUCAGAAUCUGUAACACAAACGGAUCUUUUGAUUGUGAUGUGGACGC